rnacentral:rRNA from 1 species
UACGGAGGGUGCAAGCGUUAAUCGGAAUUACUGGGCGUAAAGCGUGCGCAGGCGGUUUGUUAAGUCCGUUGUGAAAGCCCCGAGCUCAACUUGGGAAUUGCAGUGGAUACUGGCAGGCUGGAGUACGGUAGAGGAAGGUGGAAUUCCCGGUGUAGCAGUGAAAUGCGUAGAUAUCGGGAGGAACACCAAUAGCGAAGGCAGCUCGCUGGGACGUUACUGACACUAAGGCGCGAAAGCGUGGGGAGCGAACAGG